rnacentral:rRNA from 1 species
UACAGAGGUCUCAAGCGUUGUUCGGAUUCAUUGGGCGUAAAGGGUGUGUAGGUGGCGCGCUAAGUCGGGUGUGAAAUUUCGGAGCUUAACUCCGAAACUGCAUUCGAUACUGGCGUGCUUGAGGACUGGGAGAGGAGACGUGGAAUUUACGGUGUAGCAGUGAAAUGCGUAGAUAUCGUAAGGAAGACCAGUGGCGAAGGCGGGUCUCUGGACAGUUCCUGACACUGAGACACGAAGGCCAGGGGAGCAAACGGG